rnacentral:rRNA from 1 species
AUUGAACGCUGGUGGAAUGCUUUACACAUGCAAGUCGAACGGCAGCACGGACUUCGGUCUGGUGGCGAGUGGCGAACGGGUGAGUAAUGUAUCGGAACGUGCCCAGUCGUGGGGGAUAACGUAGUGAAAAUUACGCUAAUACCGCAUACGAUCUAUGGAUGAAAGCGGGGGAUCGCAAGACCUCGCGCGAUUGGAGCGGCCGAUAUCAGAUUAGGUAGUUGGUGAGGUAAAGGCCCACCAAGCCAACGAUCUGUAGCUGGUCUGAGAGGACGACCAGCCACACUGGAACUGAGACACGGUCCAGACUCCUACGGGAGGCAGCAGUGGGGAAUUUUGGACAAUGGGCGAAAGCCUGAUCCAGCCAUUCCGCGUGCAGGAUGAAGGCCCUCGGGUUGUAAAUUGCUUUUGUACAGAACGAAAAGGUUUCUACUAAUACUAGGAGCUCAUGACGGUACUGUAAGAAUAAGCACCGGCUAACUACGUGCCAGCCGCCGCAGUAA